UCCGGUGGCGAUAGCGGAGGUGACACACCCGAUCCCAUCCCGAACUCGGCCGUUAAGCCCUCCAGCGCCGAUGGUACUAUACGGUCGCCGUAUGGAAGAGUAGGACGCUGCCGGAU
rnacentral:rRNA from 1 species